rnacentral:lncRNA from 1 species
CUACUGAUCUGCAGAUCCUGCAAUGAAUUAUAAAUAUUAAAAGGACUUUCGAUAUCUAAUACCCAAAUAGUAGAAUCACAAAUUGAGAAAUUACAAGAUGUUAUCAUAUAAUUAUCUUGUUCAGCAACAACUUACUUCUUUCUCGAUCUAUUCGGAUCUAGGGAGGUAAUAUAUUGAGAAUAAUUCUUUUUCCUGUGCCCCUGCUUCUUGCAGUAGAAGCAUUCUGUCUGACUCUAGUCAAACUUGGGUUUCUUGGUCUGACUAGGCUUGGGUGCC